AGCGAACGCUGGCGGCGUGCUUAACACAUGCAAGUCGCGCGGGAAAGGGACUUUCGGGUCCUGAGUAGAGCGGCGAACGGGUGCGUAAGACGCGGGUGACCUAUCCUUGAGGCGGGGAUAACCCUUCGAAAGAGGGGCUAAUACCGGAUGAGCCCACAGACGGAAACGUGAGGGGGCAAAGGAUGCACUGUACUCAGUGCAUGUCUUCAGGGAGGGGCCCGUGGCCUAUCAGCUAGNGGUGUGGUAACGGCGCACCAAGGCGAAGACGGGUAGCUGGUCUGAGAGGAUGGCCAGCCACACGGGGGACUGAGACAC
rnacentral:rRNA from 1 species